AAAUUGAAGAGUUUGAUCAUGGCUCAGAUUGAACGCUGGCGGCAGGCCUAACACAUGCAAGUCGAACGGUAGCACAGAGAGCUUGCUCUCGGGUGACGAGUGGCGGACGGGUGAGUAAUGUCUGGGAAACUGCCCGAUGGAGGGGGAUAACUACUGGAAACGGUAGCUAAUACCGCAUAAUGUCGCAAGACCAAAGAGGGGGACCUUCGGGCCUCUUGCCAUCGGAUGUGCCCAGAUGGGAUUAGCUAGUAGGUGAGGUAACGGCUCACCUAGGCGACGAUCCCUAGCUGGUCUGAGAGGAUGACCAGCCACACUGGAACUGAGACACGGUCCAGACUCCUACGGGAGGCAGCAGUGGGGAAUAUUGCACAAUGGGCGCAAGCCUGAUGCAGCCAUGCCGCGUGUAUGAAGAAGGCCUUCGGGUUGUAAAGUACUUUCAGCGAGGAGGAAGGC
rnacentral:rRNA from 1 species